rnacentral:SRP_RNA from 1 species
UACCGGUCGGGGAAGCAGCGGAGCCCUGUACCUGCAAUCCGCUAUAGCAGGGAUGGUUUCCCCUUAUGCGGGGAAGUGCGGUGUGGUCAGCACCGUUUUCUUUUCGUGUUGAAGCAUUGGUCUUACGCAAUCGGCGGCUGUGAAUCAUGUCAGGUGGGGAACCAAGCAGCAUUAAGCGGAUUAGCCGAUGUGCCGUAGGUCAGCCUGUGCGGAGCGGA